UCAGACAUGGUGUAAUGGGAACACAGCCUUUGCUUAUAAUUGAGAUCCAUCCACCAUUCAGAGGUAGUUCAGGGUUCGAAUCCCUGUGUCUGAA